UUCUGAAAUAACUCCGAAUAGCCAUGUGACUCAAUAAAUUGCCCUACUGUUUCAUUGCGAUCAACUUCAGGACUGUUAUAAAUAAGUAAUUGGUACCUUAUGGCAUCCUGUUUGAAUCUGAUAAUUUCUCUAAUCAUUUGCCAAAAAUAUGGAUUCAAUACAUUCUUCUUUUGUGCAAACAAACUAGAGAAUCCAUUACGGGUACCCCAUU